CUAUACUCUACCUAAACAUUGAAAAUUGAGAACACUAAAAGAAAAUAAUAUUUUUUUCCAAUUUUAUGAUAAGCAAAAUUGAUAAAUUAUGUUUAAAAUCAACUGAUAAGUUAUCGUAUUGAUAAUCAUACAUAUAUAAAUUCAAGCAUUACAUUGAUAAACUAAUUUAUAUACAGUUAACGGACAUAUUUAUUGAGUUUAAAAGAAAAUAUAUGCAUUAUUGAAUAUAAUUAUCAUCUCAAAAAUUCAGGUAAAAAUGAAUGAAAACCAGAAAGAUUCGUUACAAGAAGAAAUGUCUUCUAAUAAAGAUGAACAGAUCAGAGAAAGUAAAGGUGAAAAACCAAGCGAGGGUGAAAGUCGCCAAGGAAUAGUAACCGAAGUAAAAGUUCUCGCAGAUACACUUACAUCCCAAAUGGCUGGGGCAGAAAUGCUUGAAAAAGUCGGAAAAUCCGAAAAAUCAAUACUAAGAGCAGCUCCGAGUAGAAAAAAUAGAUAUAAUACUCCAUUGAAGGAUGACGAUAGUAACGAAUAAACGGCUUUGAAUUAUUUGAAAAAUAUCAUGAAUACAGGUUAUUAAAUAUACCUUCUUGUAAAUUAUCCAAUUCAUUUCAAUGUUCUCUUGAAAAAUUCUUUUAAUAAAAAUGUUUAUCAAUUA